rnacentral:rRNA from 1 species
CUAAGCACUAAGAUCGUAGGAUUAAAACUUAAAGAGCAUGGCGGCCACCAAAAUUGUCAGGGGAACUUACCGGGUAAUAGAUAACCCACACGACACACUACUUAACUUAAAGUUUGUAUACCGCCGUCUUCAGGUCUCACUUAUGGUGGCACCUAAAAGCAGUAAAGCAGAAAGACAGGUCAUGGUGCAGCCAAUAGUUAAGCCUCAGGCGAGUUACAAUGAGGCUUUUUUCUCGGAUUUGAAUUGAACUAACUUUAAUGAAGGUGGACUUGAAAGUAAAGCCUAAAGGAAAUAAGGCUUGAAUUUCCUUUUUGUGGUGC